AUUAUUUUUGAUUUUGUAAAUAUUUAAUUAACUUUGAAUACAAAAUUAUUUAUGAAUUGUAUAUAGUUUAUUGGUUUGUGUGUGCAGUUAAAAGGAAGAAAAAAAAUUCGUGUCAUUUAUGUACUUAUUCACCCAUUUUUCUUAUUAAAUACUGCGAAAUGUAAUAUAUUCUUGUAUUUCUGUGUUCUUUUGAACAAAUAUACUCAUUUUUUCAUGUUCUCUUUGAUAUCGUAUUAAUAGUAAUGUUAAAUAUCUGGCUGAGCAAAUAUUUUGGUUAUCUGCGCUCAACUUUCCAGACGUUAUUGGAAAUCAGCUUUAAUAAUGCAUCUAGUUGAACAUGCUUAGCCAGAAACAUUAACAUAUUAACUUCAGCCGAGCUAGAGCGUGUAAUAUUAAUACCAAAAGCCUAACAUUCUAUGUACACUUAUUGUAAGCAAUUCUAGUAUUAUUCUGUUAUUUGUAGCGAAAUUAAAAAUUGCAGCAAGAAGCAGUAGCUUUUGCUGUGAUGGUUGUUUUGUUAUUAAGCCCAGUUAAUGUUCUCUUGCCUGUAUGCAGCGUGGUGUGGGUGUGAUAUGGCUAUUCUCAUUCUUGAUUGUAAGGUAAAAUUUAUAAUCCAUUAUUUGCUUAAAUGAAUAGGUUUUCAAUUGUAAUUAUUUAUGUUAAUUCAUUUUUUUUAAAGCAAACUGGUGAUUGCGAUCUUUUUUCCCUGAAUUUCUGCAUGUAUAGAAUGUAGUUGCAGAUUAAAUAAUUACAUGGUUCUGCUCGAUUCAGGAAGGAUUUCAUGUCUGCAGAUAAUGUAUUACAAGAGGCUGUUGUGUGCCAGUGGACAAGCUGGUGAGAAGCUGAACACUAAUAGCUUGAAUCCUGGUGAAUGGACUGCCUGCAUAAGCGUCGUCAUGAUUUUUCCACGUGUAAUAUGAAUGCAAGCCAGUUUGCCUUAAAGCAUCCCUUCUUGGAAAAUAUCUUCUAAUGUUUCAUCACAAAAAUCAGUCAAAAACUGUUUCUCAUGAUUUGAAAAAUACGUAUAAAGGAAGUCAAAUUUAAUUGAUAAAUUGUGCAUGCUGAGAUUGUAUACUAUAUCAUAUACAUUUUUAAUAUAUUUUCUGUAUCUCUAAUGUUGAGAAUUUUGAUGUUUUAAUUUAACCCUGAAUAAAAUGUUAAGUACUAUAAGCAAAGUAAGCAGUAUUGUAUUUGAUGUCAGAACAAUAUUUUUUUAUUUUAUACUUGUAUAUUUUUGCUUAUGAUUGGAAUUUUAGUACAAAUUAUUUUGGCAUGAUGUGGCCUGUUCUCAUUUAAAAUGCAUUUUGUAUUUUUUUUUCUUCUGUUAUUUGCAUUAUAAUAGUUUGGCCAUAACAACUAUGGAUGCCAAAUCAACAUGUAUGGGAAUAACUGUAUUAAAUUUUGAGAAAACCUUUAGGUGUCAUUUAUUAUAAAGGUUGAGAUGAUUGUUUUUAUAAAUUCAUUCAUUCUUAUCUAUUUAAGAAUUAUCAUUUAACAUAAAAAUAUGAAAAAGAAUAAUAUAUUAUAAUACUA